AAAAUUGGAAUUAGCAUAAACGUUAAUAGUUAAAAAAUGAUGUAAUUGAAAAUCUAGACAUUUCUUCAUCUUUCUCAGCCAAAAAUGCCGUAGCAGGUCUCCUAUGCUGGUUUUUCAUAUUUUUGCACCAUUUUUGACAAGCCAGCUCAGAAAUCGGGAACGGUCGGAGGCCCACUCACACUAUCCGUAUACCAUCUUGGCAUAAUGGCUUGUAUGUUUUGAGUAUGGCAUGUAUAGCAUUAUAAUCAUUUUGUAUAUAUGGUCUUAUGAUAUGGAUAUUGAGUGGUAUGGAAAUGCUUGGUAAUGAUUAGCCAUUGGAAUGGCUAAUCAUGAUCAUAUUUGGUGUUAUGUAUACUAAAUUGCUAGCUAAUCCAUGGAAACCAUGAAAUAGGCAAAAUUUACCAUAAAAUAGAUUCAGACAGCAGCAGUGACGUGAGUUUGAAAAAUCAUUAAAAAUAGUAGAGAUAUAAUUAGUUGAUGAAUAAAAUAUGUAAUUGAAUAA